GAGAACUGGAGAGAGGAAGCGCAA
rnacentral:piRNA from 2 species